rnacentral:snRNA from 1 species
AUAAAGUCGAGAACGAUCAAGUGUAGUAUCUGUUCUUUCAAGUAGCAUCGGGGUGUCUGUCUGUCAUUGAAUCUUUGGACCACGACGGAGUCGCUCGGGGCUUGCUCCGAGAUCUGUCGCGGAUGUAGCUCGUAUUGCACUGUCUCGAGCUGACGUUCAUUGAAC